rnacentral:rRNA from 1 species
GUUUAACGCUAGCGGUGCGCCUAAUACAUGCAAGUCGAGCGCGAUCAUCUUCGGAUGUGGGAGCGGUGAACGGCUGAGUAACACGUUGGUACGUACCCCAGACUCAGGGAUAGCCCAUCGAAAGGUGGAUUAAUACCGGAUAACCCCGCAAGGGAAAAGAUUUAUCGGUUUGGGAGCGGCCUGCGGCCUAUCAGUUUGUUGGUGAGGUAAAAGCUCACCAAGACGAUGACGGGUAGCUGGUGUGAGAGCAUGACCAGCCAGAAUGGGACUGAGACACGGCCCAU